rnacentral:rRNA from 1 species
UACGGAGGGUGCGAGCGUUGUCCGGAUUUAUUGGGUUUAAAGGGUGCGUAGGCGGCUUGGUAAGUCUGGGGUGAAAGCCCGCGGCUCAACAGCGGAACUGCCCUGGAUACUGCCGGGCUUGAGCAUAGGAGAGGUUGGCGGAAUGGGCGGUGUAGCGGUGAAAUGCAUAGAUAUCGUCAAGAACCCCGAUUGCGAAGGCAGCCGACUGGGCUGUAGCUGACGCUGAGGCACGAAAGCGUGGGGAGCGAACAGG